GGCUCAGAACGAACGCUGGCGGCGUGCUUCAUACAUGCAAGUCGUGCGAGAAAGCCCGCUUCGGUGGGUGAGUAGAGCGGCGAACGGGUGCGUAACACGUGAGUAAUCUGCCCUGAGGUGGGGGAUAAGCUCCCGAAAGGGGGUCUAAUACCGCAUGAUAUUUCUUGGAAGCAUUUCCGGGGAAUCAAAGAUGGCCUCUACUUGUAAGCUAUCGCCACAGGAUGAGCUCGCGCUCCAUUAGCCUGUUGGUAGGGUAACGGCCUACCAAAGCUACGAUGGAUAGCCGGCCUGAGAGGGUGAACGGCCACACUGGGACUGAGAUACGGCCCAGACUCCUACGGGAGGCAGCAGUAGGGAAUAUUGCGCAAUGGACGAAAGUCUGACGCAGCAACGCCGCGUGUGGGAUGAAGCUCCUUGGAGUGUAAACCACUGUCGGGGGGGGCGAACGAUCAUAAUUUAAAUAGGGUUAUGGUUUGACGGUACCCCUAAAGGAAGCUCCGGCUAACUCCGUGCCAGCAGCCGCGGUAAUACGGGGGGAGCAAGCGUUGUUCGGAAUCACUGGGCGUAAAGGGUGCGCAGGCGGGAGAUUAAGUCGGAUGUGAAACCCUCAAGCUUAACUUGAGGCCUGCAUUCGAAACUGGUCUUCUUGAGUAUCGGAGAGGAAAGCGGAACUCCAGGUGUAGCGGUGAAGUGCGUAGAUAUCUGGAGGAACACCUGUGGCGAAGGCGGCUUUCUGGCUGAGUACUGACGCUCAUGCACGAAGGCUAGGGGAGCAAACAGGAUUAGAUACCCUGGUAGUCCUAGCGGUAAACGAUGGGCACUAGGUGUCGGGGGUAUCGACCCCCUCGGUGCCGUAGCAAACGCAUUAAGUGCCCCGCCUGGGGAGUACGGCCGCAAGGCUGAACUCAAAG
rnacentral:rRNA from 1 species